UACGGAGGGUGCAAGCGUUAAUCGGAAUUACUGGGCGUAAAGCGCACGCAGGCGGUCUGUCAAGUCGGAUGUGAAAUCCCCGGGCUCAACCUGGGAACUGCCUUCGUGACUGCGAAGCUAGAGUACGGCAGAGGGGGGUGGAAUUCCACGUGUAGCAGUGAAAUGCGUAGAGAUGUGGAGGAACACCGAUGGCGAAGGCAGCCCCCUGGGCCGAUACUGACGCUCAUGCACGAAAGCGUGGGUAGCAAACAGG
rnacentral:rRNA from 1 species